rnacentral:lncRNA from 1 species
UCAAAUCGAUCGCACAGCGGGGGCUGUCCGCUCCGAUCCGGCGUCGUCAUCGAUCGAUCUGCCCCUGCCGUGUCUUCUCCGGCAGACUCGGCCGGAAGACGACAGCGCGGGUCGUCGCUGUCUCCAUCUCGUCGGAAUCCACACGGGGACGGCGACGGGGAUCCGUGAGCCAGCUGGUGUGGCGUCGUCGUCGUUGUUUGGCUUGGCCUGCUCGGAUUUUGUUCCCUCCACGACAGGAUUAGAGCCUAAUUUAAUUUGACCAGUGAUGAUGCAGCUGGUCUGCUUGCCGGAACUCUGCCCUGUGUUCGAGGCUAUUAAUAAGAAGCGGAUUAGGCGGCGUUGAAUCUGCUAAACGCCUAAUACUAGUUUUCUGACGUGAGCAUUAGCAAUCCCUUCCUCCUAAACUGUUGCGCACUUCCAGUGACGUCAUGAUGCACCGAGGAAUCGAGCUAGA